rnacentral:rRNA from 1 species
AGAGUUUGAUCCUGGCUCAGAGCGAACGCUGGCGGCAGGCCUAACACAUGCAAGUCGAGCGCCCCGCAAGGGGAGCGGCAGACGGGAGAGUAACACGUGGGAACGUACCCUUCAGUUCGGAACAACCCAGGGAAACUUGGGCUAAUACCGGAUACGUCCGUAAGGAGAAAGAUUUAUCGCUGAAGGAUCGGCCCGCGUCUGAUUAGCUUGUUGGUGAGGUAACGGCUCACCAAGGCGACGAUCAGUAGCUGGUCUGAGAGGAUGAUCAGCCUCACUGGGACUGAGACACGGCCCAGACUCCUACGGGAGGCAGCAGUGGGGAAUAUUGGACAAUGGGCGCAAGCCUGAUCCAGCCAUGCCGCGUGGAUGAUGAAGGCCCUAGGGUUGUAAAGUCCUUUCGGCGGGGAAGAUAAUGACGGUACCCGCAGAAGAAGCCCCGGCUAACUUCGUGCCAGCAGCCGCGGUAAUACGAAGGGGGCUAGCGUUGCUCGGAAUCACUGGGCGUAAAGCGCACGUAGGCGGCUUUUUAAGUCAGGGGUGAAAUCCUGGAGCUCAACUCCAGAACUGCCUUUGAUACUGAGAAGCUUGAGUCCGGGAGAGGUGAGUGGAACUGCGAGUGUAGAGGUGAAAUUCGUAGAUAUUCGCAAGAACACCAGUGGCGAAGGCGGCUCACUGGCCCGGUACUGACGCUGAGGUGCGAAAGCGUGGGGAGCAAACAGGAUUAGAUACCCCAGUAGUCC